CCUACGGGAGGCAGCAGUGGGGAAUUUUCCGCAAUGGGCGAAAGCCUGACGGAGCAAUACCGCGUGAGGGAGGAAGGCUCUUGGGUUGUAAACCUCUUUUUUCAGGGAAGAUAAUGACGGUACCUGAGGAAUAAGCAUCGGCUAACUCCGUGCCAGCAGCCGCGGUAAUACGGAGGAUGCAAGCGUUAUCCGGAAUGAUUGGGCGUAAAGCGUCCGCAGGUGGUUUUAAAAGUCUGUUGUUAAAGCGUGAGGCUUAACCUCAUAAGGGCAAUGGAAACUGUAAGACUAGAGUACGUUCGGGGCAAGGGGAAUUCCCAGUGUAGCGGUGAAAUGCGUAGAGAUUGGGAAGAACACCGGUGGCGAACGCGCCUUGCUAGGCCGUAACUGACACUGAGGGACGAAAGCUAGGGGAGCGAAUGGGAUUAGAUACCCCAGUAGUCCUAGCCGUAAACGAUGGAUACUAGGCGUUGUCUGUAUCGACCCGGACAGUGCCGUAGCUAACGCGUUAAGUAUCCCGCCUGGGGAGUACGCACGCAAGUGUGAAACUCAAAUGAAUUGACGG
rnacentral:rRNA from 1 species